rnacentral:rRNA from 1 species
AUGAUGAUGGUGUGCCUGCCAUUCUCUACUUAUAGUCGUCGGAUCUUCAUCGAACGCACAGGAAGCGAUCUGUGGCAAUUUUGCAAAAAACCGCCCGUCACUCCAUCAACAUUUGCAGACAACCCCUCCAGCCUCAUCUCUCCCACUCAGCCUCAUUACUCCCCCCGACUCAUCCAGCCAUCUGAAAAGGGGCGCCGUGCAACCACCGGCCGACAGCAUCGGAGUCCAUCUGGCGCGGUGGCCGCUGCCGGCGAUGUCCACCGCCACCACGACCCCAGCCCAUCUGUCCCGUUCUACUCUCUCUUCCCCACCUUAUCCAGCCAUCUCCAAAGAAAAGGAAAAUGGCGGCACCGUGAGAACCACCGCCGGCAGAGGUGGAAUCGAUCUAGCGAUGUGGCCGCUGCCUGCGCCGUACAAUCCCAGCCUCUCUUAUGCCUUAUCUCAGCCCCACCGCCCACCGCCACCACGAUCCCAUCCUCGUCGCCGUCUGCUCCGCCCGCUCCCUUGUCUCCUCCGACCCUGACCGACGCAGGUCCGCCGCCGAUGCUUCUUCUGCCUCUUUUUCUGCCGCAGAGUUCCCACCAACCACCAACCACUAUCGCCACCACCUCCCCCUCGUUGAUGUCUCGUCCGCCCCUUCCCCUUAUCCUGCAACGCAGACUGCCAUAG